UUUGUUUCAAUUUUGCCUUUCUGUUGGAAAAUAUUUAACUGCCCUUGAACUUGUAUACAUUGCUUUUACUUUAAGGAACUUAUGAUUUGUAUAUUAGACAAUAAGUUACCUCAUUAUUUGUGCAUAUUCAAUUAUGUGGCUUUUAACAAUUAAAUUACAAAAAUUUCAAAUAUUUAAAGCGAAACGCUUUUCAGUACUGAAAAGUACUGCAGUAGGUACCCAAUUGGACAAACUUUUAAAACGACUAAAGAUUUAUAUAAACGACUUAUUUGGCAUUGUCAUUUUAACCUUGUCGUAAAUUUAGUCGAGGAAAGAAUUGUUUUGUUCACAACUAGCAUUGCUCGAGGUUUAGGAGACUCAAAACUUUGCUGAGGAGGGUAUGAUAAGGUUAAAAGGAAAUAAGGAAAUAUAAUUUUUUUACCUUUCUUUGGAUGUUCACGAACAAACAGCUCAUCCUUGCAUUCUGGAUUCAACAGGUCGUAAACUUUGUCCUGAUAAACUUGCACAAAUGAGCAAUUGAUCUAGAGAGUGAUGAAGACUCUAUUUACAGCCCUAGACACAAAAAUACAUUUGCAAAUCAAUGCUAAAACGAUACAAACAACUCCCAAACAAUCGGUGGCUGCCAUCGCAUUGAGCGUGGUCCAACUGAUGUAAUGUAUCGCUGGAUUGAAGACAGAAGAAGUGGAAAAAUAACUAAAGAUCUUCAAACCGUGAUACUAGGAGUGGGACUCUCCAAACUGAUGUUGGAAUCGACUGGCUGUUUAGCAUCAUAUGAAGGUGAUGUGCUUGAACAGUGUUCAACCUGCUCUGAGUUACUGUUGUCGCUGUUUUUCUCUUGAAUUGCCAAGCGCUUUG